UACGUAGUGCGCAAGCGUUAUCCGGAAUUAUUGGGCGUAAAGAGCUCGUAGGCGGUUUGUCGCGUCUGCCGUGAAAGUCCGGGGCUCAACUCCGGAUCUGCGGUGGGUACGGGCAGACUAGAGUGAUGUAGGGGAGACUGGAAUUCCUGGUGUAGCGGUGAAAUGCGCAGAUAUCAGGAGGAACCCCGAUGGCGAAGGCAGGUCUCUGGGCCACUACUGACGCUGAGAAGCGAAAGCAUGGGGAGCGAACAGG
rnacentral:rRNA from 1 species